AAUGAUGCAGUCCAAUGUCUUGAAGGCCAAAGCAUAAACAACAAUGAAUGUUCAACUGGUCCAAGUCACUGCUUCUAGCUUUUGUUUACAUACAAGUAUAUUUGAACCUACAACAAGGGGGAUGAAAAGAAUGGAAGAGUGCCAAAGGAAUAGAAACUGGAGGAAACAAAGUAAUCACAGACAGAAUCGAAGAGGAAGAAAGUGCAGAGCCAAGCAAGCAAUGCUCGCACUAUAAAACUCGGGUUCUUUGCAAUUAUUUAUCUAAAUCAAUCAAUUGAUCUACCAACUGCCCCUUAUUCGUAAACUAGUUAAGCUUGAAUAUAUGAAGCUUCUGUAUCCAUAAUCAGAGUUCAUCAUACUCGAGACUAUAUUUUUACUAGUUAUCAAUCUUCGCAACUCUCUUCCUUUAUCUUUUUUUUUAAUCAGCCGCAACUCUCUUUUUUUAUCCAAGCUUGAGAAUAUGUUUUGUGAAACUCAUAUAGGCAUAACUAAAUAAAAUUUUAUCCUUACUGCACAAAUUAGUAUUCCAUCACAAUUUUCAGCUAUUAUAACAUAGGAAUUAAAAAAAUGUUAACUUGUAAAAUCAGAAGGAAAUAUUAUAUCAAUGGGGUUUUAUGUGUAGAAGGAGUUAUCAUAUCAGCGUCGAGACUUCCUUUUGAGAAAUGAGAGCAAAUGGAGCAUUAAAAUCCGGUUAAGCACAACUCUUGUUAUUCCAUUGAAAAUCAUUAGGAAAAAAAAGGUUUCGGACAAUAGGUGUUCAUAGCGGAAAGAGAUGGAAAGUAGCGCGUUUGUGCAAAGGAGGGAUAGUGCGAUUCUGAGGCUUAAAGCAGUUGAAAUUCGUGGAUAUGUUUAGUUUAUUCCCAAACGACUAGAAGUAAUUUCAGCUUGGCCCCAAACAUCGUUUGAUUGGUAAAAUGCAUCACUUCAAAUAUAAGCAUAAAUUUCAAAAGGACUCUCUAAUUGUUCCAUUUAAAACAGUCUACUGUUUCAUUUAUUUCUCUACUCUCUGACUUCAAAUGGUAAAUUCCCAUAUGACCUUAAAAAUCGAUGAUAAGUUCAUUGAUACUUCCACCACAGAAAAUAAUUGUAAAAUGCAAACUUUACCUUUUCCAACAAGAACAAUACUAGCAAAAAGAAAACUUGAAAAGUUUAAACAGUCAUAUAGACGUUACAAUUUAGACUCAAGUGUCAAACCUAGAGUAAAACACAAGAGUUCUUUCCAGAUUCGGGAAUCAAUGAAACAACAUACAGCCAAUUCCAAAACUAACUAAUACAAAAUUUUGCCUUAUUACCGAAGAUUGUAAAACAUAAUCAAGGCAAUUGAAUCAUUGAAAAUCUUGAUGCUGCACUUCCAGCCAAAGCUUAAAUUUAGGUUGAGAAAAAGAACUCUGAACUGAGAAGUGAAUCAAAGAGGUGGCAAAGGACAGAGAGAAGAGUGUGGGAGGGACAAAAACGCAAUAAGAAGACCAGAAAAAUUAAAUAGGCACAUAGAUGUGCCAAUGCGCACUCACAACUUGUUUGGAUGGUUGUUACGCAUUGCUUCAAUAUGUAUUGUAUCAUACUGUAUGUUUUGAUGAAUACAACAUUUGGAUACAUUGCAUUGUUCCCCGCCAUUUCAUAAUUUUAUGCACCAACAAUUUGAAGAAUAAGUUUACAGUAUUACAAAUAAAAGUAGAGUACAUGGCAUAUAUUUAUUAUAAAAAUGGGUAGAGUAAAGGGUAAGAUAUGAUUAUUGAAUAAUAUUAAGGAAAAAAUAAGGGUAACAAUGCGACCAUACCAAAUGGGAUUGUUGGUUUUUUAAAAGAUGGAGCAGCAAAAAGAUUAAAAGUAUUUGAAAAUGUCUCAAUAAUUUUAUUUAGCAUAACAAGGCUUUAAAUAGCCAAUUUAAAAAUAGAAUUUGCAGUAAAAUCAGGAGAAUAAAUAUUCAAAUUCAAAAACCUAAACUAUCUCAACUAACUUAUCCUAUUAAAUUUAAAUUUAAACAAAGACUCCUCCUUCAACCGAACUACUUAUUAUUUUGGUAAAUCAAUUAUCAGCAGUAACAAAUGUAAAAUCCAACAGGGACGUUAUAUAAAAUGGAACAUUUCGUCGUUACGUAACAACACAUAUAACAAUACGAUGCAAUACAAUUUUAAGUAACAAUCAAAACAAAUAUUGUAUCUAACGUAACAACAUGAUACAAUACAAUACAAUAAGUAAAAACAAUGUCAAACCUAAUAACACAAAAUAAUUCAAUCUCUUCUUUUGUUCUUUUCAUAUCCAGGAAUGUAUAUCUUACUAUUGUUACUACUUAUUGCAAUGUUUUUUUCCCAUCUUUUCUUUAGCCGAUGAUCUACUAAAAACAACUUCUCUACCCUCCCAGGUAAAGUAUGCAUCCACACUACCCUCCUCAGACCCCACUUGUGUAAAUUCACGCCCAGGGUACGGAUAAGGUCAGCAUCCAAAGGCGAAACCAGAAGUUAAAGUUUAUGGGUUCUAAAUUUAUCAUAAAACCUAUAGCUCGUCUUAGUUACUGGGCUCACAAUUAAAUAUUUUAUAUUUAUAUUUAAUCAAUUUCCAGGUAUAAAUACAAUAUUUAAGCAAACGUGAAAGGGUACAGCCGAACCCUUACACUAUAUGAUAGCUCCGCCUCUAUCUCCGUCCACACUACCCUCCCCAGACCCCACUUGUGUAAAUUCAGAAAUCUGAAACAAUAUUAUGCUGUAGCAAAUUCCCAUAAAACAAUUUAAUAUAAAAUUUUAGCACAAUUAUCGAAGAUCGCGAAAUACAAUUAAAAAGACUGAAUCUUUGAAAAACUUUCAGAAACGAAUCAAAGGGAAUUAGGAGGUGGGAGAUUUCAGUAAUGGGAGAUAAAACUAAACACUUACGACAAAUGGGUACCUUAAAGGCGUAAACUUUGAUUGAAAAAACAACUCUGAACUGAGAAGUGAAGAAAAGUGUGGGCAAAGGCGUGAAUGGCGUCCGGUCGAGGAAAAACCUUUAACCCUUAGGGUUUAAGCGCGAAUUAUGUUGGUUUGAUAAUAAAUAGAUUUAUAUGUUGGUUUGCUAAUAAGUAGAAACUGGCUCAAACUGGUUUGAUAAUAAAUAG
rnacentral:lncRNA from 1 species